GGAUGAGCCGAUUAAUCGGUAAAUAAUCGGCAAAGCCGAUUAAUCGGCCGUUACUUGAAUAAUCGGUAAUCGGCCGAUUAUUGCUUGAUAAUCGGCAAAUAAUCGUCCAUAAGACUUGUUCUGCAGCUGCCAAGCACAUGCUAAAAUACUGAAUACAAACAAAUAGAUUUUCAUAUUUUAUUGCAAAACCUGUGUCUUUUGUCUCGAGCAAAGUAAAGCUGGAAAACGCAGCAGACUAGCUCCUCAUAGCUGAAAAUAUCCUGUUUUUACACCAUAAUCUGCCAAAACUAAACUCAAUGACUAUUGACAUGCAAGAUUGAAGCUGUUUUCAAUUGUACAUAAUGUGUAUUGUAAACAAUAAAACCGCAUUUACAACUUCAUUGUUGGUCAUCUUGUGAUUUUUCGCUUGCUUUUAAAAUAAUCGGCGGGUACCGAUUAAUCGGCUGAUUAGUUACGAUAAUCGCCUUAUAAAUAACCAGCCUCAGUAAUCGGCAAUUUUCCUUAUCGGCUCAUCUAUGGCUCAUCCCUAC